CCUAAGCGAUACGUUGAGUGACGUGUCCACACAGAUUGUCUGAUAACUGUCACGAGCAAAGCAGCCCGUCGGCGGCUUUUUCCUGUUCACCCGGCGAGCAAGGUAAAAGUCAUUGGCGGCUGAGCGAAGUUACCACCGCUUUUGCGGUCAGGGUUACCCGCUUUGCCUUACUGAAAGCGGUGCCUUCCACGCCAAAGUAUCGCGAUGCCCGCGCUUUUCGAGUCCCCUUCGUCUAGUGGCCUAGGACACUGCCCUUUCACGGCGGUAACAGGGGUUCGAACCCCCUAGGGGACGCCACUUUGCUUGUUAUUUCAGAGCGCGUUUAUCAAGCGCGCUGCGAAAUACCGCUCUUUAACAAUCCGGAACAAGCUGAAAAUUUGAAACACAUGCUGAAGUGCAAACUCAGUAUGCGAGUCUCUCAAACGAAGUAAGCAAACCUGAGGUAACGCGCAAGCGUUAUCACUGUAGCGCGCAGACAGCUCAGGGUUGUGA
rnacentral:misc_RNA from 1 species